rnacentral:rRNA from 1 species
CAAUAGCGUAUAUUAAAGUUGUUGCAGUUAAAAAGCUCGUAGUUGGAUUUCUGGUUGAAGCGACCGGUCGGGCGUUGAUUCGUCUGCACUGGAGUCGGUUUUGGCCAUCCUCUAGGAAAGUGCGUCUGGUAUUAAGUUAUCGGGCGUAUGAUCCUGGUCUUUUACUGUGAAAAAAUUAGAGUGUUUAAAGCAGGCCUUCGCCUUGAAUACAUUAGCAUGGAAUAAUAAGAUAGGACUUUGGUCUAUUUUGUUGGUUUGCAGACCGAAGUAAUGAUUAAUAGGGAUAGUUGGGGGUAUUUAUAUUCCGAUGUCAGAGGUGAAAUUCUUAGAUUUUCGGAAGAUAAACUUAUGCGAAAGCAUUUACCAAGGAUGUUUNCAUUAG